GUCGCGGCGCAGGAAGUGGGCUCCCGGCUCCGCUUCAUUCCUUUCCCCUGAGCCAGGCGUCUUCGCGCCUUUAUCAAAGUUAUUUUUACGCGUUGAGAAAUUUUCAAGUGAGCACUUGUGCGGUGGCACCUUCUCCUUGUCGCGGUUGGGCCUUGAAGAAAUUCCCCGGCUUAUUUAUAGCCCGUGUUUAUUUUUACUCAAGUCCUGAACUUGAGCCUCUGGAAGUAGUCUGAGCUGAGCGGCGGCAGAUCGGGAGGGAAUCCUGGCUUUGCGACCACGGAUCCAGUAACUGGGUCUGUUCUGUGACCUGGGGGAGCCCCCGCGGGGCCGAGAAGAGGGACAGACCCCAGUUCAGUGCCGGGCUAGGGGCGCUGCCGGAGACCCCGUGCAGGCAAAAAGCGGCCUUGGCCAUCCAGCCCCUCCCGCAGUGCACUUUAAUCUCAACCCCCCACUCCAGGUGCAAAAUCAGACCGCCCUCGUCCGCCCUUACUGGUUGUUCCCUUCUGAGAUCGGAUCAGUGGCCUCAGACUUUUGAGGAAAGUGAUGACUUAGGUUUUGCUUGACCCUGAAGCUCAGACUUACGCACCCUCUUAGUCUCUUGGGGGCUCCAUGCGGUGACGUGGAGCCCUUCACAGAAACAGGAGGGGAAUGCCUACUUCAGUCAGCUGGAUGCUGACCAAAAACGUCCACCUUGUCCGGGCACUUGGUCCUGACCUAAGGUGCUGACCCAUCCUAAAGCAGGAGAUGGGAAGAGUACGUUUAAUGUGAUUUCAAAAACAUUGGGCUUUUGGAAGGAAACAUUCUAAAUAAGCAUUGCUCUUCGUGGUCCUAGACAUGAACGAAUGCCGGUCUCAGUAUCCAUUAAAAUUCAUCAACAACGGGACCGCAGAAGGUGGCCGGAUCUGGAGUUGAUGCUUUCCGUCCAGAACAGACAAGACUGGCUGUGCAGAGGUGUCAUGGGCACCUGGAAGGUCCCCUCUAUUCACGGGGGUUCUAAAACCGAGCUUCUCAGGAAACCUAGAAAUAAGAUAUUUUUUCCUCCUAAAUGAUUUUUAAUAAUGGCAGUCACAUCAACCAUAAUUUAUUUCAACCUCACUAGUUGCAAGUAUGUAAUAAUUUACAUACCUGUUGUAAAGGAAGUUUUGCUGAGCAAGAAAGAUCAGAGGGAAAACAUCUAAUUUAUGUAACAGAAAAACAUGUUUGUCUUGAUUUUAGAAGCCCUCAUUUGUAUAUUAUUAAUUUAAUUUUGAUUUAAAUGAUCCUUCUCUGUUCCCUAAAUAAAUCUGCCAGUGUCUUCAGGGGGCAAGAUUCUAUUUUCUCUCACUUUGGGUUUCUAUAGUUUUGAGGGUAAUAUAACUAAAUUUCUUUUAAAAUAUUGAAGGGGAUCAAAAUACGUCAUCCAAAAACACACCACUUUGGCAUAAGGAUUAUUUUGAGCUGAAGGCAAUUGAGAAAAAGCAGACACAGGAAAGGCAAUCUGCCAUCCCCGUAUCUGCCUAAAAGUAGGUCAUAAAUUUCUCUGGUGAAGAUGUUCUCCCCUCUCUCAUACCAGGAAGGGAAGAGCAACCUUUAUCACUGGAGAUGGAGAUGUCACCAGGAUGACUCCGCAUAAAUAAAACCCUGCUUUAUCUUCCAUUAGUUUCUCCAAUAUAUUUACCUUCCCAUGAUUUACCACUCCUAGAAACCAAAACCCUUGUCCUCUGUCUUUUCACUUCUCAAAAAAUUUUUUCCCUUUGUUAAAAUGGUAUAUAAGCCCCCUGAGUUUAACCACUUCAUUUCUUUUCUAUGAAGUCCUCCAUGUGUGUUAAAAUUAAAAUA